GAAUUCUAAAUUAAACUAUCUUCUG
rnacentral:tRNA from 1 species